CAAUACCUUUUGCACCCUCGCAGGAGGGCUUCGAGCUCAGGUUUUUCCAUUGCCGAGUUAACUGCAGGUCCGAGCUGGCAGCGUCCCGUGCAUCUGGGGGCCAAAUACGAGGGGCAAAACAACGUUGGCAUGGAACUGCUGGAGGAGAGGAGUUUCUGGUGGGCUCCCAGUGGCAUCUGAUGGAGUGACGCUGACCAGGAGUCCACAUCCUGGCAAUGGCAGGAGCUUCCCAGAUGGCGAGGAGGCCUUCCUUCACACCCCAUGUGGAUCCACCCCACCCAGCAUCCGAGAGCUGAGUCAAAGGCUACGACCCGCAGAGGGGAUGAAAGCGGGGUGCCGGGUCGGGACUUGUGACCUGGGAUAGUUGAGUCAGCUUUGGGGACGGGGAGGUCCAGGCUGUGGCCCCUUAGGCCGCACGGUGGGAGAGCCUCACUUUUGUUCACAGUGCUGAGGUGUGCAGGACAGAGCAGCCUCGGGGCGUGGCGUGUCACUUGUCCGUCGUGACUUCUGUGUCUUUUGUGCCUCUUGUGUUGUACGUGCCUUGCCCUAUCUCUUCUGGGGGCUUACCAGAAACCCCAGCGUCACUUAUAGCAUCUGCGAUCUCUGGGCUCCUCGGCUCGGCUGCUCUCAGAGGCCUUGGAAUCGCAUCUGUUUCGAAAAGCAUCCGAUCGGAUGUCUUUUAGACGUCUUCUUCCGAGCUGUGUCAACAGCCGUGCGCCGCGAGGAUCCAUUGUUGCGGCUUAGGACUUGAAGAAACGCAAAGAUAGGUAGAGGAUUGCGGCCGUAAGAUUCUUGGGCCUCCGUCUUGGCGGUUCCUGGAGUUUGUCAUUCCGUCAGCAUCUUCUUCCUCCCGGGUUCUGUGAGCUUCAUCAGCUCGCCUUCAUUCUCACCCGGCUCAUCUCGUUCCGCAUUCUCUCAGUCCUCGCCGCCGUUCUUGUGGCCCAGAGUUUUGUCUCCCCAUUGUGUCCCCUCGUCGGGUGUCUGGUGUGUCACGGGUGUCUGGGUGUAGUUGUCCCGGAGCUGCUCUGCCCUGCUGCCCAGCCUGGCUGUAGGUGUAAAAGGCCAAGUCCCAGGCCCCUGUAAUUUGAAAUUUGUGAUGUAGGGUGUAGUUGGGGUCUAGAACAUAUCCCUAGAUCAACACAAGAUGUCCGGAGCUGUGAAGUUACCCUGCAGCGCUUUGACUUUUGUCUCAGCUCUCUUUCAGAUGCGGACGGAUGAAAUCGGUGGCAGAGCGCCCCAUCCAGGGUAAGGGGGUUUCCCCGAGAAGGUAAGUCAGUGUUUGUCUUUGCAGGGCAACUGGAACCGGUCCCUGUGUUACAGGUCUCCUCUUUGUCUUUAUUUUUAGGAAAUAGAGCCAUCUAGCAGCAGUCAAGGUGAAGUGGGCAAGGCGGUCCAGUCGCGUUUCGUCGAGACCCCGUCGCCAGCCGGCCGGCACGCCUGCUUCGCCGCUCCCGUGAGCCCUGCGGAAGCGUCACAGGGACCGCGUGACGGAGCCUUUUCCACGUAAAGGGGCCGUGUGGCUGGCCUUCAGGAAGGGGCCGAGGGCUUCCCGCGCGCCCUGCGACGACGCUGCCUGGUCCCGGCGUGGCCGUAUCGUGCGGCCUCAGGUCACGGCCGUUCGCAGGAGACCCUGACGGAGAGACGACAGCCUGGCGAUGGCAGGAACUUCCCGGAUAGCCAGGCGGCCUUCCUUGGCGCUCCGUGUGGAUCCUCUCCAGCGGGCAUCCGAGAGCUGAGUCAAAGGCUACCACCCGCAGAGGGGAUGAAAGCGGGGUGCCGGGUCGGGACUUGUGACCUGGGAUAGUUGAGUCAGCUUUGGGGACGGGGAGGUCCAGGCUGUGGCCCCUUAGGCCGCACGGUGGGAGAGCCUCACUUUUGUUCACAGUGCUGAGGUGUGCAGGACAGAGCAGCCUCGGGGCGUGGCGUGUCACUUGUCCGUCGUGCCUUCUGUGUCUUUUGUGCCUCUUGUUGUUGUACGUGCCUUGCCCUAUCUCUUCUGGGGGCUUACCAGAAACCCCAGCGUCACUUAUAGCAUCUGCGAUCUCUGGGCUCCUCGGCUCGGCUGCUCUCAGAGGCCUUGGAAUCGCAUCUGUUUCGAAAAGCAUCCGAUCGGAUGUCUUUUAGACGUCUUCUUCCGAGCUGUGUCAACAGCCGUGCGCCGCGAGGAUCCAUUGUUGCGGCUUAGGACUUGAAGAAACGCAAAGAUAGGUAGAGGAUUGCGGCCGUAAGAUUCUUGGGCCUCCGUCUUGGCGGUUCCUGGAGUUUGUCAUUCCGUCAGCAUCUUCUUCCUCCCGGGUUCUGUGAGCUUCAUCAGCUCGCCUUCAUUCUCACCCGGCUCAUCUCGUUCCGCAUUCUCUCAGUCCUCGCCGCCGUUCUUGUGGCCCAGAGUUUUGUCUCCCCAUUGUGUCCCCUCGUCGGGUGUCUGGUGUGUCACGGGUGUCUGGGUGUAGUUGUCCCGGAGCUGCUCUGCCCUGCUGCCCAGCCUGGCUGUAGGUGUAAAAGGCCAAGUCCCAGGCCCCUGUAAUUUGAAAUUUGUGACAUAGGUUUUACUUUGGAAUCUACAUGCUUUUCCUAGGUUGACAGUAGAUGUCUGCAUUUGUGAAGUUAUCCUGCAGCGCUUUGAGUUUUGUCUUAGCUGUCUAAGCAUUUUAUUAUUUGCUGCCCAAUGUGGGGUUCAGAAGAGUAAGGAAAACCUAUGCUGAUUUUGUUGUAUUGGUGCUUACUGUGUGCUGGGAUAAAGGACUUUGUAAUGGUGUUACUUAA